rnacentral:tRNA from 1 species
AUUGAGAUAGUUUAAAACGUUGAAAUUUGAGUUCAAAAAAGGAAACUAAUCUUUCCUCUCAAUU